rnacentral:lncRNA from 1 species
GAAGAAACUGUACAGGAAUAAACUUACGUGAUCCUCAUUUCAAGGAGAAGAAGGAGAAGUUGAAGAAGGAGGAGAAGGAGAAGGAUGAGAAGAAAAACAAGAAGAGGAAGGAGAAGGAGGAGGAAAAUGAGAAGGAGAAGAAGAGAAGGAACAGCAGCAGUUGCAGGAGGAGGAGAAAGAGGAGGAGGAGGAGAACAGAGUGUGCAGAAGCUGGGGGGUAAAUGCAAUCUUGAGAAAUUCAGCACAGUUCCAACAGUGUGUGUUAUGCCUGGGCACGAAGGGUCCUACCUCAGCAAGAUCAAGGGGAUUCCAAUGUUGGAAGCAUUUUUAGCAUACAACAACAUCCAAGUGGAUUACGAUGAAUGCCUAGACCUCUAUGGCAAACAGUCUCUUCGUGGCCUGUGCUGAGGACUACAUCAGUCUCCUGCAAUUAUCAUCUACACUGAAAAACAAAGAGGACAGAGGCAAAGCUAGUGGCCCUCACCAUCCCCUGCAAGCUGAUUGCUUCUUACUGCAAGCACUUGAGCAUCUUCCUGAGAGCUUUCUUGGGCAAUGGGAACCAGGCUUGGCCCAUUCACAGGCAGGUGAGAAGUAUGAGGAAAUGGAGAAGGCAUUGUCCAAGGAGCAGUCUUCAACCUUCGCCCCGCAAGUGAGACAACUCUGAAUAAGAUGUGUUCUACACUCUCUUCCAAAGGUCCCCAGUUGGAUGGAGCUCUAGCUGCUCAUGUGAUAAGCUGCCUAUUAAUACACAAAAGAUUGCCUUUCCUCCUUGCUCUGUCUUCCUGCUGCUCUCCUACUAAUGUUUCCUGGGAUUGCCUCCAAAU